AACCUAUUAGCUCAAAUGGUAGAGAAUUAUGCAGAUGCAUAGAAGAUGUAGGUUCGAUUCCUACAUAGGUUG
rnacentral:tRNA from 1 species